rnacentral:rRNA from 1 species
AUUGAACGCUGGCGGCAGGCCUAACACAUGCAAGUCGAGCGGAGCGGCGGACGGGUGAGUAAUGCCUAGGAAUCUGCCUGGUAGUGGGGGAUAACGUCAGGAAACGGGAGCUAAUACCGCACACUAUCAGAUGAGCCUAGGUCGGAUUGGCUAGUUGGUGGGGUAAAGGCCUACCAAGGCGACGAUCCGUAACUGGUCUGAGAGGAUGAGAAGUCACACUGGAACUGAGGCACGGUGCAGAGUCCCACGGGAGGCAGCAGUGGGGAAGAGGGGAAAAUGGGCGAAAGCCUGAUCCAGCCAUGCCGCGUGUGUGAAGAAGGGCUUCGGGUUGUAAAGCACUUAAAGUUGGGAGGCGUUACCAGCAGAAUAAGCACCGGCUAACUUCGUGCCAGCAGCCGCGGUAAUAC